UGGGGAAUAUUGCACAAUGGGCGCAAGCCUGAUGCAGCCAUGCCGCGUGUAUGAAGAAGGCCUUCGGGUUGUAAAGUACUUUCAGUCGGGAGGAAGGUGUCAAGGUUAAUAACCUUGGCAAUUGACGUUACCGACAGAAGAAGCACCGGCUAACUCCGUGCCAGCAGCCGCGGUAAUACGGAGGGUGCAAGCGUUAAUCGGAAUUACUGGGCGUAAAGCGCACGCAGGCGGUUGAUUGAGUCAGAUGUGAAAUCCCCGGGCUUAACCCGAGAAUUGCAUCUGAUACUGGUCAGCUAGAGUCUUGUAGAGGGGGGUAGAAUUCCAUGUGUAGCGGUGAAAUGCGUAGAGAUGUGGAGGAAUACCGGUGGCGAAGGCGGCCCCCUGGACAAAGACUGACGCUCAGGUGCGAAAGCGUGGGGAGCAAACAGG
rnacentral:rRNA from 1 species